GAUUUAUUCGACUAGGAUCACGAUUUAGAUAUAGUGGGAAAACGGAGUAUCAGACCACAAAAACCAAUAAAGCAAGAAGAUCAACAUCCUUUGAAAGAAGGCCCAGCAAACGAUAUUCUAGACGAACUCUACAAAUGAAAGCAUGUGCUACAAAACCUGAAGAACUUAGUGUUCACAAUAAUGUUUCGACCCAAAGUAAUGGCUCCCAACAGGCUUGGGGGAUGAGAUCUGCUCUGCUUGUGAGUCCUUCCAUUUCCUCUGCUCCUGUGCCAGUGGAGAUAGAGAAUCUUCCACAGAAUCCUGGAACAGACCAGCAUGACAGGAAAUGUUUGUUUAGUACCUGAAAUCUAAUGCAUUUCUGUGGUGA
rnacentral:sRNA from 1 species